rnacentral:rRNA from 1 species
UACGGAGGGGGCUAGCGUUGUUCGGAAUUACUGGGCGUAAAGCGCACGUAGGCGGCUUUGUAAGUUAGAGGUGAAAGCCCGGAGCUCAACUCCGGAAUUGCCUUUAAGACUGCAUCGCUCGAAUCAUGGAGAGGUGAGUGGAAUUCCGAGUGUAGAGGUGAAAUUCGUAGAUAUUCGGAAGAACACUAGUGGCGAAGGCGACUCACUGGACAUGUAUUGACGCUGAGGUGCGAAAGCGUGGGGAGCAAACAGG